rnacentral:rRNA from 1 species
CCUACGGGUGGCAGCAGUUAGGAAUCUUGGUCAAUGGACGCAAGUCUGAACCAGCCAUGCCGCGUGCACGAAGACGGCUCUAUGAGUUGUAAACUGUUUUUUUACGAGGGUAAACGCAGAUACGCGUAUCUGUCUGAACUUAUCGUACGAAUAAGGAUCGGCUAACUCCGUGCCAGCAGCCGCGGUAAUACGGAGGAUUCAAGCGUUAUCCGGAUUUAGUGGGUUUAAAGGUUGGGUAGGCGGUCGGAUAAGGUAGAGGUGAAAUCCCGAGGCUCAACUUCGGCAUUGCCUCUGAUACUGGUCGGCUAGAGAGUAGUUGCGGUAGGCGGAAUGUAUGGUGUAGCGGUGAAAUGCUUAGAGAUCAUACAGAACACCGAUUGCGAAGGCAGCUUACUAAGUUACUUCUGACGUUGAGGCACGAAAGCGUGGGGAGCAAACAGGAUUAGAUACCCGAGUAGUC